rnacentral:rRNA from 1 species
CUACGGGAGGCAGCAGUGAGGAAUAUUGGGCAAUGGGGGAAACCCUGACCCAGCAACGCCGCGUGGAGGACGAAGGCCCUCGGGUCGUAAACUCCUUUUGCGAGGGAAGAAGAUCUGACGGUACCUCGCGAAUAAGCCACGGCUAACUACGUGCCAGCAGCCGCGGUAAUACGUAGGUGGCGAGCGUUGUCCGGAUUUAUUGGGCGUAAAGAGCCCGCAGGCGGUUCAGCAAGUUUCAGGUGAAAUCUCCCGGCUCAACUGGGAGGGUGCCUGGAAAACUGUUGGACUUGAGGCAGGGAGAGGGAUGUGGAAUUCCCGGUGUAGUGGUGAAAUGCGUAGAUAUCGGGAGGAACACCAGUGGCGAAGGCGGCAUCCUGGCCCUGUCCUGACGCUCAGGGGCGAAAGCGUGGGGAGCAAACCGGAUUAGAAACCCUGGUAGUCC